UACGUAGGUGGCAAGCGUUGUCCGGAAUUAUUGGGCGUAAAGCGCGCGCAGGCGGUUCGUUAUGUCGGAUGUGAAAGCCCUUGGCUUAACCGAGGAAGUGCAUCCGAAACUGGCGAGCUAGAGUACUAAAGAGGAUCGCGGAAUUCCCGGUGUAGAGGUGAAAUUCGUAGAUAUCGGGAGGAACACCGGUGGCGAAGGCGGCGAUCUGGGUAGAUACUGACGCUGAGGUGCGAAAGCGUGGGGAGCAAACAGG
rnacentral:rRNA from 1 species